AGUACAGCAACACUUGCAACCACACAUUUUCGCAGCAGAAGAUAGUUUCUCUGUACGAGAUGUUCUAUCAGCUCGAUCGCAGUGGCGGAGGUUUCAUCUUCGCCGACGAGUUUUUUGUCCGUACCGGAAUUCGCAGUCAAUCCUCUCUCUCAGUUUUGGCUGGGUGGACGUAGAUACUGGGGGAGAGAUGGAGCAAGACCACACUUGCUCUUAGGAGAUGCUUUUGUAUCAACACCCAAUUUCCUUUUCUCAUCAGAGAGAUUUGAUCAAACAACAAAGCUACUUAGUUUUGGGGUGACUUGCUCUUAGGAGAUGCUUCUGUAUCAACACCCAAUUUCCUUUUCUCAUCAGAGAGAUUUGAUCAAACAACAAAGCUACUUAGUUUUGGGGUG
rnacentral:lncRNA from 1 species